UGGACUGUGGUGAGCAGAAAGCAGGGUUGAAGCAUGCCGCUAAGGUGAAGGAUCCUUCGAGCUCGAGGGUUCUGGAUUUGUGGACGACUGCACCUGGCAUGCAGUUUUACACUGCCAAUUAUGUCAAUGGUGUUGUGGGUAAAGGGGGUGCUGUGUAUGGAAAACAGUCUGCACUUUGCUUGGAGACUCAGGGGUUUCCGAAUGCCAUUAAUCAGCCAAAUUUUCCGUCCAUCGUGGUGCGCCCUGGAGAGAAGUAUAAUCACACUAUGCUGUUUGAGUUCUUGGCCGAGUGACUGUGAAGGAAGGUGUAAGUAACACUGAGAAUAAUGCCAGAGGGUUUGGCACACAAAUUUCGGAUUUUUUUAA
rnacentral:misc_RNA from 1 species